AUCACUGUUGUACAGCGUCCACCGGAUAUAGCCCCUAAAAACGCCGAAAACGAAACUAGAAAGCGGUACACCGAGUACACCCAAGACUAAACAUGGAUAAAUUGGAUGACGAUAAAGAGUUAUUUGAUUUUGGAUUGUAUCACAGGUCGGAGGACGACGAUAGCGACGACGGAGAGCAAAGCUUGCCUCUGGAUCUGUCCUGUGGAUCAUUGGACUUGUCAGGUGUCCAAGAAGGGCCUUUGACGAGCACUCCAGCCAAACCAAAAAAGGCAAAAUCCAAAUUAUCAUGUGACCAAUGUGGAAACACAUAUUAAACUAAAUAUGGGUUAAACAUCCAUCGUAUGAAGCACACUGGACAUUACAAGCAUGUAUGCGCUAUUUGUAGUCAAGGGUUUGGCCAGACCAAACAAUUUAAAUCACACGUGGCAUCUCACAACAAACUUGCAGUGUCAAAAUGUGGUGACUGUGGGAAAGCAUUCACUGGCCAUUCGUCUUUGAAGCGUCAUACUCUUGUUUGUGGUAAGAGAAAUAUUUCCUCGAAAUUCUCCUGUGAUGAGUGUGCUUUAGAAUUCAAAACAAAGGAGUACCUAAGGGCCCACCAGCGAGGUAAACACCAGGACCCGAGGUACAUGUGUGAAAACUGUGGAAAAGCCUUCGCGUGGAGAUCUUCACUUCGAGUGCAUAAAAAGAAGUGCAAAUGAAUCAGAUAACAGCUUAACUUUUACAUUAGUGUGGGCUUUGAGAAGUCGUUGGAUACUUACUAAUGAUAUUUGAAUUCAGUUUUUGUUUAAUCCAAGUUCUUAUUUCGAAAGUUUAGAUUUUGAUUAUGUUUUCGAAAAUGUUAUAACACCUAGGUAAAGGUACAUGAUUUAUAUCCCAACUAGUAAAAUAUGUCUAUAAUCUCCCAUACCAUUUUCUAUUUUAUGCAAACAACAACAUUUUGUCUUUUUUUAUGCCCAGAAAGGGUGCCGUGUCCGUCCAAUCGUCCUUCCGUGCGUCUAUGUUUACUGUUUUCGGCAAGCGUUUUUUGUUGAGUCUUUACAUUUAAACUUCAUGGAUACAUACACGUUGAUGAGUUCUACCUGUCAUGCCCACUUAGAGAGGACAUGGUCAAAAGUCAAGUCCAUUGUCAAUGUUAAACUCGAUCCUUACCAGGAAGGCCUUCCUCCUACAGUCUGCAAGCUUAAUACUUUACUCAAUAUGAGCUCUACCCACCAAACCCAGUGAGAGGUCUAAGGUCGAGGUCAUCAUGCCUCAUGAGGCCCUUAUCGGAGAGGGGGGACAUGACGCUCCUUGUUUAAAAUUAAGUUUAAUGUUGAUGUGGCACAUUGUUCAUACAUAUGUGAUAAUAUGUUAUAAUGUUAGGAAGUUUCGGAAAA